CGACGGGUGAGUAACACGUAUCCAACCUGCCGUCUACUCUUGGCCAGCCUUCUGAAAGGAAGAUUAAUCCAGGAUGGCAUCAUGAGUUCACAUGUCCGCAUGAUUAAAGGUAUUUUCCGGUAGACGAUGGGGAUGCGUUCCAUUAGAUAGUAGGCGGGGUAACGGCCCACCUAGUCAACGAUGGAUAGGGGUUCUGAGAGGAAGGUCCCCCACAUUGGAACUGAGACACGGUCCAA
rnacentral:rRNA from 1 species